GCCGACCAGACAAAUGAGAAAAGGGGGUGGUAGAGGACUGAGAUCAGAUAGGAGUGAAGCCUAGCACGUUGGGCAGGCAGGAUUGCACUGGGGAGCCGAAGACUUUUCACUCCUUACCAUGCAUGCUCCCCGCCCCCCAGCCUACCCCCCCCCCCAAGGGUGGGCAGACCUGGCAGAAGGCUUGUUCCUAGCAUUGGGGUGUGCGUGGGGGGCUCGUUUUGGGAAGGGGGCGGAAGGGAUUAGUCCCAGGGAUGCGAGAGGAUCGGUUCUGGCUGGGGGCGGGGUGGGGAAGAUGCCUUUAGCUGCAAAAGCCCCGGGCGGCCAGGUUGGCUGCCCGCCUCGGCGGGCUCGCGGGGCGGAGAAGAGGGUCGGGCUGCAGGAGGAGGCGCCUGGACCCCUGAGCAGCGCCCAGGUAGCUGUCCUCGCCGGGACGGGCGGCGCGUCCGCAGCGGGGUGUGCACAGGAGCGUGAGCACCCGGAGGUGCACCGCGAACAACAAUGCGCUCCGCGCCCGCGGGCGGGCGCCGGGCAGGGCAGGGCUGGGCAGGGCCGGGCCGGGCCGGGCCCGCGCCGCUUACCUUGACUCGGCCUCGAGGCGCGCGCGGCGCCGGCGUGCUCCGGGGCCGGGCGGCGGCGGCGGCGGCGGCGACGGGCGGAUGGCGGCGGCACGGCGAGGGCGGGGAGGGCGCUCCCGGGGCCUCGUCGCGCUCCGGCUCGGCGGGCUCCGGCUCGCGCCGCGGCCGCGGCUGCUGCCGGGGGGCGCGGCGGGCGCAGCAGAGCGGCGGGCGGCGGCGGCGGCGCGAGCGGCUCCCUCCAGUCCCCGCGCGGGCGGCGGCGGCAGCGUCGUCGAGCGGUGCAGACAAAGGAGGGGCGGAGGGAGGAGACAGAGGGUGUGGGAGCGGCGGCUUCACCGGCGCGGGCGGGCGGGCGGCGGCCGCGCUUCCCUCGCUCCUCGGCGGCGGGGACCGAGAGAGGGAGCUGUGUCUGAGGAGACGCCAAAAUCCCCCUUAGCGGUGCCUGCGGGAGGGGGAGGGGGCACAAGAUGGCGGCGGCCGGGGGGCGGGAGUUCAGCUCAUGGAUCCCGGCGGGCGGCGGAGGGGAGACCGGGCCGGCGGAGGCGGCGGCGGCAACGGGCGGGGGAGGGGGCCGAUCCCGCGUCUCCCCUCAGCAGACAAUACAAGCGCCUCGGAGCGAGUCCCCGAACCUGCCCUAGCCAAAAUGGCGGCCGAGAAAGAGCGGAAGUGACGUCUGCUGUUGCUGGCACUUGACAUUCUUCCAACUCAGUCAUGGACUCUCCUCUUUGGCCUGAAGAAACAAGUGGAAUCCCCAGUGUUUUGAGGCCAGUGGACUGGUGAAGCCGAAGGAUGAAGUGAUGUCGCCAAUGGCCCUCCACAAGAUCCUUAAGAACACUUUGUAAUCCUAGGGCAAGUUCUAGUGCUCCCACAAUCUGGAUAGCAUGACAGCACAUGGACAGAGUGCUUGAAAACGUUAGGCCAGUCCCAACACUUAUCGUAGAGUGCAUCUGAGAGUGUAUCAUUGGUGAAAUGUAUUUAAAAGUAAUAAAAGCCAAUGGUUAAGGAUUAACCAAGGCUAGUUUUUCAAUACGUGCUCUGUAAAUACACUUUUACUACUGUUCCUUUUAGUUUACAAGGUAAGAUAGUUUCAAAUAAUACUUAACAUCUCAAAAGAAUCUAACUGAUAUGAAUUGUGGUUAACUAUACUCAAUGUCUAAGACUUUGGUUAGCAAGUUUAACAAACUUUCAUCCAACACACUGUUCCAUUAACUUCUGCAAUUUCACUAACAUCUUUAAAAGCCAAAUCAGUACUUCAGUAGAAAACAGGAGCUGGAAAAAGUUGUUUAAAAAACAACAGCAGGGGAGGGUUUGGCAAAGCAUUUGACUCAGGAAGAUGAAGAAUCUAUACACUGUAUAAUACAAGCAGAAAGCUACUAUGAAAUAAGCAAAAUAAGGUAAUUUUUAGUUUUCCUUUGGUAUACUUAGAUUUCAUAGUGAUAAUACAAAUACAGAGGAAGAGCAUCUGGAUUUCAUCAUUGGCCUCAUUUAUGAA
ensembl:lncRNA